rnacentral:lncRNA from 1 species
CAGGCGCUCUGCCCCGCCGUGGGGUUUUGGGGGUGCUGUGGAGAAGGCAGGGCUCGGGACUCUUCCACCUCCUUGGCUGCUCUGGCCUUUGAGUUAUGCUCUAAGAUUAUCGAUUACUUUUCCGUUGUUGCUUAUUUCCCACAGCAGCAGAAUGAGAACGGUUAUUAGUUAAUAGCCAUCAGAGACAGACCAAGUGGAACACAGUCCUCGGAAAAACGCCACUCUGUAGCAUUAGUAAUUAAAACCUCACAAGAGUGAACCACAAAGUCUGAAAAACUGUUGUUGACGACUUCUCAGUCCUUUAUGUGGAGCUGGGGGCAGGAAGAAUUGCUUCUGGAAGCUGAUGGAGUUGGACAUGUGGCUUUCUAGAAUCUGGAUGUGAUGGUGCAGGAAAAACUCCUGCCCAUUGAGAGGGCUCCGUAAGUGCUUCCCAAAAGAGAAUGAGAAGGAAAAGGAGAUCUCCACAGGAACUGCCUCCUUGGAUCCAGGGCAAAAAUGAACCUCCUAUUGGAGAGAAGUGCCCAGCUUGUCAAGAAGUUGAAUCGGUGCAACCAGCGUUUGUGAAAGCAGCAUUUCCCAUUUCACAUAAAGUCAGCUUCUGGCCAACUGGACAAGUCUGAACAAAUAUGAAACCCACUAAAAGGCCAGUGACAGGUGCACACACUACUGACUCUGGCUAGAGGCUGUGGCAGGAAUUGGACUCAUGUCAUCCAGCGACAGUUCCACCAGCAUCUCUUGUGGCUUCCCAAGGACCAGCCUGAGGCAAACUCCUCAGUGGUGUGAAGACUUUCCAUGUCACUGGAAACCCACCACAGAGUUCUACCAAGUAACCAUGCCUCCACCAGUCCACAACAAACUUUUAAGGCCUCUCCAGUUAUGCCUGCAACCAUCCCACAUUAGCAACCUAAGUAGGCCACCAGUAGAGCUGGUCAAGAGAAAGGAUAGGUUCAAUUAAUUAUUUUUUAAUUAAAAAAAAAUAGAGACAGGGUCUUGUUAUGUUGCCGAGGCUGGUCUUGUACU